rnacentral:misc_RNA from 1 species
AGGUAAGCCACUAGAACCAGAAGAUACAGGUAAAGGCAAAGGGCUAAUCAGUUGAAUAGAAGAACAUUCAGGUGCGCUCAAGUUAUUUGGUUCCCCAUAUCUCCCAUCAUCAGCAUUGAAACUUUCAUUUAGAUCAAAUUCCACUUUGGCUUCAAUAUCUGGCCCCCCUGCAGCAGGUAAUGAUGCAGCAUCUGCAGCACCAGAUGUACUUUCCUCAGCUUCAUCAGCAUCAGUGGCAGUCAGCUUUGAUCCUCUACACCUUGCUUCCUGUUCUGGCUCUUGAAAAAAUGCAGGCAGUGCCUUGUGCUGAGCUUGGCAAUGUGCAUUAUUUUCUUUUUCAGUAUGCUGAUUCCUGCCAUCCGUUUCAUUAGCCUUUUCAGUCUUCACCUCCCCAAAAACAUUUUCGCUAACAAUAUCUUUACCAGAAUCGGUAGAAUGCAGCACAUCCCCAACAGUCCCCUUUGCAAACUCUAGGCGCAUCAUAGCAGGAGGUUUUUGCUCUCCUUGCAUAGUAAUGUUCAACUCGUUGUUCAUAUUUUUCAUGUUCUUAUCAUCUAUGUCCAUUGAUGGGCAAGGCAAUGAUCCUUCAACCCGUUCAGUCCCACCUUCUAAUGCAGAAACAUCAACCUUAUCUUCACUUUGAAGACAACCAUGCAACUUAUCUUUUGUAUCAGAUAUGCCAUCUGGGUUUGAAUUGCUAUCUACCUUUUCCUCCCAUGUUUCUCCGUCUGCAUUAUUUGAUGUCUUGUCUACUGUACUUGCAGAGGGCAGAGCCACUGAAGUGGCUAGUAAUGUGUCUUCUGAUUUCACAUUGUUUUCUAGGGAAGGUUCUGCAAUUUGCUGCACAUCCAUAUUGGAAGAAUUUGAAUGUUCAUUAAGCACCUCUGUUGGUUUUUCUUCUGAAAAUGAUACAAUUUUAUCCUCUGAGCUCUUAGCCCGCAUCGUACCAGUAACCCACUUCUCAUGUUCAUCAUCAAUGCCAUCAACUGACUCUGUACAAUCUCGAGCUAUGUUAUCACCUGGAUAUGACUUUAGUCUUGAAUCACUGCUUGUGCAGGAGUACUCAACAGCAGUGAUGUUUCUUGGUGGAGAAUGAUUUGGGGAAGCCAUAUCUAAUUUGGACAUCUCCCCAGCAGCCACACUAGCAAGCAGGUUCAUUCCAACAUCAUCCCCGGCUGAAAUGGAGGCAUUUACUUCAGAGUACUUGACA